CAUGGAAUUGGACAUUAUGUACGAGUAGUUCUUUUAAGUUGUUGUUGGACAUUGGCGUUGGUAAGAAAUUGCAAAUGAAGUUCCUACUUUUGUGAUGUCAAUACCUGUUCUAAUUUCUGCACUGUACCGAUUCAGGGGAUUUGUAUGUUACAUGUUGCAUGUAUUUGAUGAGUAAAAAUAUUCUUGGAAUGCAGCAUCGUAAAUAAUCUUUGCAAGCUAGCAGCCUGUUUAAAUCAUCUGAUCAUUCCAUCUGCUUGUUUCACUCAAUGCGAGAUCAGCAUAUCUUGGCUAACUGAGGUAAGUCAGAUUUCUUGCUACGAGCUUAACCUCUUUUGCUCUACAUGAUGCUAACCUUUCCAGUAAAAGAACCGGCGAAGAAGGAUCCGUUCAGCGUUCAGCACUGCUCAGGCAGCUUUACAUUCGGCUCUGCAUUAACGGGAUGAAAUGAUUACAUCUUUAUAAUUAAUGUUUCAAGUGAUCUUGACAGCCCUUUCAUCUCCUUGAGAUGGAAAUAUGGGAAGCAACUUGCACCAACGGAAGCAGAGAGACCUGGAGCUGCUGAGGUGUGCCCGGCUAAGGAUCCACACCUUCCCAAUCACAAAAGUUGGAAUGGUUCUCCAGCUCAAGGGCUCAUGGAGGGUAUGUACCUUGGGUACUAUGUUCUUGACAUCUUCAAGAUUCAGUCUUUUGAAGAUGAGUGCUCCUGAAGAUCAUCAGGUUAUUCAAGUGGUGAUGGCCGUGGCACUGAUUCCAAGAGAGGAAGGCAUGAGAGGCCUCCAGGGUGCCGUACUAGCUCUCGCGUGCCUUCUAGAGCACCUCAAGAUACUGGUCCAGGUAGUUCAGCUAGAGGAAGAGGCAAGAAAGUUGGACACAGAAAGAAAGACAAGCAUGCAGCUGAAGAGGAUGAUCUUAUUGAGAGGGUGCCACCAUUCAAUGUGGGGGCAUAGCACAUCUUGCUGAUUGGAGAAGUGUUAGCGAGGAAAAUCCGUAUCGGUUUGAGGAACGGACUUACACUGGUGGGGACAAGUUUUUCUGGACCAACACUGAAGUAAACAUAUGGGAAGAUUUCUACAACUCUAGAGAGUGUAUGAAGAAUGGUACCAUUGUGAUGCCCAAGGCCAUCAACAAGGAAGAGAUUGCCUUGCAUGAAGCCACCAAGUACCGCUUUGUGGUUGAUACCUUGAAGAGUAUGGGGCUGUAUGAUCUUGUGUGCUUGAAGCCCGGUGAUGAAAAGGGAGAAGGGCGCUAUUGUCCAAUUCUUGUCCAUCAAUUCCAUUGCACUGUGUUCUUUCAUGAUGAUAAUGAUCGCACUAUGACCUGGAUG